AGGUUUCACACGUUUUUGUGCAUGAUUUGGGAAAGCAGCAGAGAUGUCCAGGCUGCAGACUGCAAGAGUCAUGGCAAAACGUUCUGAGAACCCCAGUUAAUUUGGAAGCGGGACCUGUGCCAUGAUCUUUUCCAGACCAAGCCAGGAUUCAGUGAUGAACUGGCCAGUAACUUUUAGCCUGGCCAUUGUGGACAUGCACCUGUUGCUAUAUUUGGAGGCAAAAAUACAGCUUGGGAGCCUACAAGCUACAGCAAGAGAAUGGGCUGGCAGUGUUAAAUUCCUGCCUGUACGGCAAUUAUUCCUGGCGUGGGAGCGUCUGUCCCUGGGAGAAAAGAUGGCAAACUAACUAACCAGUCCCCAGUUGCCUUCAGCCAGGUUUGACAGAAUGGCAGCAAGUCACAAAUCCCCACCCAGAGUUUGGAAACCCAGGUUGUGCUUUCAGCCAGCUUUCUAUUGCCUUCUUUUGGACAGAGUUACUGGUAUUGCGUGAAAAGGUUGAAAACUGCAUCGCAAUGUUUGUAAAACUGUCCAUUACAGAGGCUAACAGAGUUUCAGGUGGCAGCACCAAGCUACUCUGGCUGAUUUUGCAGAAAGCCAGGCCUAGUCAGGCCUAGUUACUACCUGGAUGGAACACUACAGGGAGAUCCCAGGGCUGCAGGCUGUUAAAACAGAGAAGUGGAAGAUACAUCCCAGGAGAAGCCAGUGCAAAUCAUUGCUGUAUCGCUGCCAGGACCACUAUGCCACCUCUGAAGGGUCGGAAAAUGCAAGGCAGCUUCCGGUUUUAUCCUUGGGAGCCCGCACAGCAAGGUAGGCCAGGCUGGCAGAAAGCCAGGCAGUGGGUUUCACGGCCGAGGGA